GUUGUAAGGUUCACUAUCAGCUGAUGAGAACUGGGAAAACUUGAAAACGCUGAGGUCUUGCAGAGCUAAUUCUUCUAAAAAAAAGUGUUGAAUGUAUGGGGAAGAGCAAACAUAUCCAGGUUCAACCUAAGUAAACUGAAAGCCA